rnacentral:lncRNA from 1 species
AACUAUAAGUUAUGGAUUCAUGUAUUCCACUUAGAAAGAUGAUAAGGAAAAUAACAUGAAAUGAGUCUGCCUUAUUUAUCUACAACUAAUAUUUGGAAAUCCUUAAUUAUAAAUCAUAAUUCAAAUCCAAUCCUAAAAUUACUACAUUCCAUUGGCCAAAUUGUUAGGGAUAAACAAAGAAGGGGAAUUACUUUGACAUAAAGAAUAGAGAAAUUUGAAUUGGUAGCCAAUGGGAGAGAAUG